rnacentral:rRNA from 1 species
AUUGAACGCUGGCGGCAGGCCUAACACAUGCAAGUCGAACGGUAACAGGAAGCAGCUUGCUGCUUCGCUGACGAGUGGCGGACGGGUGAGUAAUGUCUGGGAAACUGCCUGAUGGAGGGGGAUAACUACUGGAAACGGUAGCUAAUACCGCAUAACGUCGCAAGACCAAAGAGGGGGACCUUAGGGCCUCUUGCCAUCGGAUGUGCCCAGAUGGGAUUAGCUAGUAGGUGGGGUAACGGCUCACCUAGGCGACGAUCCCUAGCUGGUCUGAGAGGAUGACCAGCCACACUGGAACUGAGACACGGUCCAGACUCCUACGGGAGGCAGCAGUGGGGAAUAUUGCACAAUGGGCGCAAGCCUGAUGCAGCCAUGCCGCGUGUAUGAAGAAGGCCUUCGGGUUGUAAAGUACUUUCAGCGGGGAGGAGGGGAGUAAAGUUAAUACCUUUGCUCAUUGACGUUACCCGCAGAAGAAGCACCGGCUAACUCCGUG